UACGGAGGGGGCGAGCGUUAUUCGGAAUCAUUGGGCGUAAAGGGCGCGUAGGCGGCUUCAUAAGUCUUGGGUGAAAGCCCUCGGCUCAACCGAGGAAUUUCCUUGGAUACUGUGGAGCUCGAGGCUGGAAGAGGGCAGUGGAAUUCCCGGUGUAGCGGUGAAAUGCGUAGAUAUCUGGAGGAACACCGGUGGCGAAGGCGGCAUCCUGGACCAACACUGACGCUGAGUGAGCGAAAGCCAGGGGAGCAAACGGG
rnacentral:rRNA from 1 species